rnacentral:rRNA from 1 species
CACGUAGGAGGCGAACGUUAUCCGGAAUUACUGGGCGUAAAGCGCGCGUAGGCGGCUUUGUAAGUCCGACGUGAAAGCUCCUGGCUUAACUGGGAGAGGUCGUUGGAUACUGCAAAGCUCGAGGUUAGGAGAGGAAAGUGGAAUUCCCGGUGUAGUGGUGGAAUGCGUAGAUAUCGGGAGGAACUCCAGUGGCGAAAGCGACUUUCUGGCCUACACCUAACGCUGAAGCGCGAAAGCGUGGGGAGCGAACAGG